AGCGAACGCUGGCGGCAGGCCUAACACAUGCAAGUCGAACGAAGUCUUCGGACUUAGUGGCGGACGGGUGAGUAACACGUGGGAACGUACCUUUUGGUUCGGAACAACUCAGGGAAACUUGAGCUAAUACCGGAUGAGCCCUUAGGGGGAAAGAUUUAUCGCCGAAAGAGCGGCCCGCGUUAGAUUAGCUAGUUGGUGAGGUAAAGGCUCACCAAGGCUACGAUCUAUAGCCGGUCUGAGAGGAUGAUCAGCCACACUGGGACUGAGACACGGCCCUGACUCCUACGGGAGGCAGCAGUGGGGAAUCUUGCGCAAUGGGCGAAAGCCUGACGCAGCCAUGCCGCGUGAAUGAUGAAGGUCUUAGGAUUGUAAAAUUCUUUUACCAGGGACGAUAAUGACGGUACCUGGAGAAAAAGCCCCGGCUAACUUCGUGCCAGCCGCCGCGGUAACAC
rnacentral:rRNA from 1 species